rnacentral:rRNA from 1 species
GAUGAACGCUGGCGGCGUGCCUAAUACAUGCAAGUCGAGCGAACAGGUGAGGAGUUUGUUCCUUUGACGUUAGCCGCGCGCGGGAGUGUCACGUGUGGAUCAUCUCCCUAUAAGACUGGGAUCACUUCGAGACACCGGCGCUAAUAGCGGAUAAUAUAUUGAACCGCAUGGUUCAUUAGUGAAAGACGGCUUUGCUGUUACUUAUAGAUGGUUCCGCGCCGCAUUAGCUGGUUGGUAGGGUAACGGCUUACCAAGGCAACGAUGAGUAGCCGAGCUGAGAGGUGGAUAGCCCACAUGGGAACGGGGACACGGUCCAGAGUCCUAAGGGAGGAAGCAGAAGGGAAUCUUCGGCAAUGGGCGAAAGCCUGACGGAGCAACGCGGCGUGAGUGAGGAAGGUCUUGGGUUCGUAAAACUCGGUUUUUGGGGAAGAACAAAUGGGUAAUUAACUAUGCACGUCGUGACGGUACCUUAUCAGAAAGCCACGGCUAACUACGUG